rnacentral:rRNA from 1 species
CCUAAGGUAGGGUCAGCGAUUGGGGUGAAGUCGUAACAAGGUAGCCGUAGGAGAACCUGCGGCUGGAUCACCUCCUUUCUA